rnacentral:rRNA from 1 species
AAGCAUCUAAGCAUGAAGCCCCCCUCAAGAUGAGACUUCCCAUUCUUCGGAAGUAAGAUCCCUGAGAGACGAUCAGGUAGAUAGGUUAGAGGUGGAAGCAUGGCGACAUGUGGAGCUGACUAAUACUAAUCGAUCGAGGACUUAACCUA